UGUGUGUGUGUGAGUCAGUCAGUUGUGUGUGUUUGUGUGUGUGUGAGUCAGUCAGUUUGUGUGUGUGUGUGUGUGUUUAAUGUGACACAGAGACACUGAAGAGUUAACAUUAUAAAGUCUAAAUCCAGCAUAAAGUGGUUCAGUGAAUGUGUGUGUGAAUGUG